rnacentral:rRNA from 1 species
GACGAACGCUGGCGGCGUGCUUAACACAUGCAAGUCGAACGGAAAGGCCCUGCUUUUGUGGGGUGCUCGAGUGGCGAACGGGUGAGUAACACGUGAGUAACCUGCCCUUGACUUUGGGAUAACUUCAGGAAACUGGGGCUAAUACCGGAUAGGAGCUCCUGCUGCAUGGUGGGGGUUGGAAAGUUUCGGCGGUUGGGGAUGGACUCGCGGCUUAUCGGCUUGUUGGUGGGGUAGUGGCUUACCAAGGCUUUGACGGGUAGCCGGCCUGAGAGGGUGACCGGCCACAUUGGGAAUGAGAUACGGGCCAGACUCCUACGGGAGGCAGCAGUGGGGAAUAUUGCACAAUGGGCGGAAGCCUGAUGCAGCAACGCCGCGUGCGGGAUGACGGCCUUCGGGUUGUAAACCGCUUUCGCCUGUGACGAAGCGUGAGUGACGGUAAUGGGUAAAGAAGCACCGGCUAACUACGUG